rnacentral:rRNA from 1 species
GCUCAGGAUGAACGCUGGCGGCGUGCCUAAUACAUGCAAGUCGAACGCUGGAGAUCUAGCUUGCUAGAUCGAAGGAGUGGCGGACGGGUGAGUAAUACAUAAGCAACCUACCCACGAAGACUGGGAUAAUCUCUGGAAACGGGGACUAAUACCGGAUAGGUAAUCGGAAGGCAUCUUCUGGUUAUUAAAGGUUAAAAACACUGGUGGAUGGGCUUAUGGCGCAUUAGUUAGUUGGUGAGGUAACGGCCCACCAAGACGAUGAUGCGUAGCCGGCCUGAGAGGGUGAACGGCCACAUUGGGACUGAGACACGGCCCAGACUCCUACGGGAGGCAGCAGUA